UCGAUCUGAACAGUCAAGGCGAUAAGCGAGUUGAGAUCUGUCAGUAGUUCCUGGGCUGCAAGCUCAUCCUUUACUUCCUCCGAUACUCAGUACAGGAACAUGUCGAACAGUGCUUCCGGAUUCCAGGUGCUCUCUGCUGCCAACGUGUGGAAAUCUACUGCAUAGUCUGCCACACUGCAGGAGUUUUGCAAGAAAGCUGGAGUAACUUCCGGGCAGCCUCUCUCCCGGACAAUGGAGCAUCAAAAAAACUCUUUACCUCCGCCACGAACUCCUCUAGACUGAAGAAUAUGGCCGACUGUUGUUCCCAUACUUCCGUAGCCCAGGCGAGAGCCCUCCCGGACAUCAGCGUGAUGAGGUAUGCUAUUUUAGAGUGGUCCGAGGGGAAGGAGGAGGGCUGCAGCUCGAUGAUGAGGGACCACUGAGCGAGAAACGCCCGACAGUUGCCCCACUCUCCAUCAAAGCAUUCCGGGGGAGGUAAGCGGUGUUCCCGGGAUACCGGGGUUGCCGAGAAGGCGGGCUGGUUGGUUACCAUCGUGGUAGGUUGCCUAACAGACAACCCGCGGAUUUGCUCCAGCAAUGUGUUCAACGCUCGGUCAUGGCAUUUGGCCAAGGUCUGGAACCCUUCCAUCAGACCACGAAGCAACUGAUGGCUCCUUGGGAGGAGAUCGCAUUGCGGAGCUUUUCCGCGUCUGCUGGGUCAGUCAUGGCCAGUUCGUACUAUCACGCUUCAGGGAAGACCCAGAUGCUGACAGUGUUGAAGUAACAAAAGUGUAUUAGUAGAACAGGGGGCAGGCAAAACUACAGGUUAAGAGCCUUCUGUAUCCAUGAAAUUUUGGGAUUGUGAGUGGCUAGCCAGGGAAUACCCAGUACCACCGGAAAUGCUGGUGAGUCAAUAAUGAAGAGGCUAAUACACUCCUCAUGACCCCCCAAAAUCACCAUAACCAGUGGUGCAGUAACCUCCCUAACCAUGCCCGACCCAAGUGGUCGGCUGUCUAGGGCAUGCACGGGGAAGGGUUGGUCCAACUGGAUAAGGGGGAACCCUAACUUAUGGGCGACCCCACGGUCCACAAAACUCCCAGCCGCGCCUGAAUCGACUAGCGCCUUAUACUAGGAGUGCGGGGAAAACUCAGGAAAAGACACUGAGACAUGUAUGUGGCCAACAGAGGGCUCUGGGUGAGAAUGGUGCUGACUCACCUGGGGUGUUGACGUGGUACUCUGCCUGCCCUCUGAACUCCUGGGUGAGCCUUUCCAGCACCGGUCGGCAGUGUGCCCUCUGUGACCACAGUGGGCACAGGAGAGACCCCCCCCCUCCGGUCUUCCUAGCUGCAGUCCCCCCUAUCUCCAUGGGCGUUGGAUCAGGAAGACUGGGAGGUGGAACGAAAAGGGCCCGAGGAGAACGCCCACGAGCAGCCAGCAGGUUGUCCAGUCUGAUGGACAGAUCGAUAAGCUUGUCCAGGGUGUUUGUAGUAUCCCGACAUGCCAGCUCCCGGCGAACGUCCUCCCUCAGGCUACAACGGCCCUCUCGUUCCACCCCACUCCAGCGGCAAGGGUCCGGAACUCCAACGCGAAAUCCUGUGCGCUCCUCGUCUCCUGUCUCAGAUGGAACAGUGUGCACAAAACAGACAUAACUAACAAACACAUGAAACAUGGAUCGGUGGCAGCUAGUAGGCCGGUGACGACGACCACCGAGCGCCGCCCGACCGGGGAGUGGCGCCACCUUCUGUGGAUGUUGUGACACCACCCUUUGCCUUGAUGACAGCUUUGCACAUUCUAGGCAUUCUCUCAACUAGCUUCACCUGGAAUAAUUUUCCAACAGUUUUGAAGGAGUUUUUGGCUGCUUUUCCUUCACUCUGCAGUCCAACUCAUCCCAAACCAUCUCAAUUGGGUUGAGGUCAGGUGAUUGUGGAGGACAGGUCAUCUGAUGCAGCAAUCCAUCACUCUCCUUCUUGAUCAAAUAGCCCUUACACACCCUGGGGGGGGUGUUGGGUCAUUGUCCUGUUGAAAAACGAAUGAUAGUCCCACUAAGCCCAAACCAGAUGGGAUGGCGUAUCGCUGCAGAAUGCUCUGGUAGCCAUGUUGGCUAAGUGUGCCUUGAAUUCUAAUAAAAUCACCGGCACUGUCACCAGCAAAGCACCCCGACAUCAUCCCACCUCCGCCUCCAUGCUUCACAGUGGGAACCACACAGGCGGAGAUCAUCCGUUCACCUACUCUGCGUCUCACAAUGACAUGCCGGUUGGAACCAAAAAUCUCAAAUUUGGACUCAUCAUACCAAAGGACAGAUUUCCACAGGUCUAAUGUCCAUUGCUCAUGUUUCUUGGCACAAGCAAAUCUCUUCUUCAUAAUUGGUGUCAUUUAGUAGUGGUUUCUUUGCAGAAAUUCGACCAUGAAGGCCUGAUUCACGCAGUCUCCUCUGAAUGAGUUGAUGUUGAGUUGUUUGUUACUUGAACUCUGUGAAGCAUUUAUUUGGGUUGCAAUUUCUGAGGCUGCUAACUCUAAUGAACUUAUCCUCUGCAGGAGAGGUAGCUCUGCACUUUCCUUGAAAUUGUCCAUGUUGACUGACCUUCAUGUCUUAAAGUAAUGAUGGACAGUCAUUUCUCUUCGCUUAUUUGAGCUGUUCUUGUCAUAAUAUAUACUUGGUAUUUUACCAAAUCGGGGUUUCUUCUGUAUACCACCGCUACCAUGUCACAACACAACUGAUUGGCUCGAAGCAUUAAGAAGGAAAGAAAUUCCACAAAUUCACUUUUAACAAGACACACCUGUUAAUUGAAAUGCAUUCCAGGUGACUACCUCAUGAAGCUGGUUGAGAGAAUGCCAAGAGUGUGCAAAUCUGUCAUCAAGGCAAAGGGUGGCUACUUUGAAAAAUCUAAAAUAUAUUUUGAUUUGUUUAACACUUUUUUUGGUUACUAUAUGAUUCCAUAUGUGUUAUUUCAUAGUUUUGAUGUCUUCACUAUUAUUCUACAAUGUAGAAAAUAGUACAAAUGAAGAAAAACCCUUGAAUGAGUAGGUGUCCAAACUUUUGACUGGUACUGUAUAUGGGAUCCCCCGCUUUAUAAAGGUAGCACACCCUUCUCAUCCCCCUGCCACCCUAUCUCUAUGGACUCCAACAUGACCUUGUAAUACAAAAUCUAGAGUAGUUUUAUGCCAUGUCUCCUGGAGACAUUUCACAUCAGGUUUGGCUGGUAACUCCUCAAGAAACUGUUUGAAAUCUUGCCCAUUACCCAUCAAACUUCUGGCAUUCCAGUGAAGGAUUAACACCAUCAUGAAAAUUAACCAAUACAUGAUUCCUGGCUGGACUGAUUCUCAAUCUUAUUGAGGUCAUCCUGUACAUUUUCCCCAUGUUAGUCAUGUGAUCCCAAGAUACCUCACCGCCUGCUCCUCUAUAAUCUAUAUCUUCUUAGUCUUCAAUUGUAAUUUUCCUUCGCAAUUGAUUGCUGCUGUCACAAAUGUAACAAACUUCCUCAUGUCUACUACCAUUCUUGUGUUCUCUCCCAUUCUGCUCCCUACAUCACACCCAACCUGCAUCCCAAUCUGCCCUGGAAUACAUGCUCCUCUAGGUGUCUCGAUUGUUUCUGCGUGAACUUCCUUCACUGCUUCUACAUGUAACCCUCUCACCAGGCUCGAAUUUGACUCUCACGAUAUUCACUUACGUAGAGUAUCUCAACAGCAUGGGAUGUUAGGUGAGAAGGACAUCUCCAAUCAGAAUCCCCAUUGUAAACUAUCUAGGGUGAUGACAAAUAGGGUAUUAACUUCAAAUGGAAUGAUUAUAGAUUUUUGUUAUUGUAUAAGGAUAUACUUUCCCAUGCAUUAAAUUAAAUUGAAACAGGAAAUGACUCCACCAAGGCAACAUACAUAAGGUUCAAGAUGGGUAUUAUUACAUUUUCAAAGCACCACAUAAAAAUAAUAAACCCCAAUGAGUCGUGCACAACCCAUGUCCAAAUUAUUUCAAGUUUGCUUAACCCGUUGGCGCACGUUGGAGUCUUUCUUAACAAAAUUAUAACAACUCUCUUAUAAAGUAAAUCGGUAUUUCCCUUCAAAACUCGGUAGAUAUGGGUUUUGUUCUAUUUUUAUCGUCUUUUAUUAAAAAAAUCACCAAAGGUCAUAAUGUAAUGUCCAUCCUUUUCUCAACGUCUCUCUCCCUCUCUUUUUUU
rnacentral:lncRNA from 1 species